UAGUCCACGCCGUAAACGAUGUCUAUUAGGAGGUUGUGGCCUUGAGCCGUGGCUUCCAAAGCUAACGCAUUAAAUAGACCGCCUGGGGAGUACGGCCGCAAGGUUAAAACUCAAAUGAAUUGACGGGGGCCCGCACAAGCGGUGGAGCAUGUGGUUUAAUUCGAUGCAACGCGAAGAACCUUACCUACUCUUGACAUCCAGAGAAGUUACCAGAGAUGGUUUCGUGCCUUCGGGAACUCUGAGAUAGGUGCUGCAUGGCUGUCGUCAGCUCGUGUUGUGAAAUGUUGGGUUAAGUCCCGCAACGAGCGCAACCCUUGUCCUAUGUUGCCAGCACGUAAUGGUGGGAACUCAUGGGAGACUGCCGGUGAUAAACCGGAGGAAGGUGGGGACGACGUCAAGUCAUCAUGGCCCUUACGAGUAGGGCUACACACGUGCUACAAUGGUCAGUACAAAGGGUUGCCAACUAGCAAUAGUGCGCUAAUCCCAUAAAGCUGGUCGUAGUCCGGAUUGGGGU
rnacentral:rRNA from 1 species